ACUCAAAGGAAUAGACGGGGACCCGCACAAGCGGUGGAUCAUGUGGUUUAAUUCGACACUAACCGAGGAACCUUACCAGGACUUGACAUCUAGAGAACCCUGCAGAAAUGUGGGGGUGCCGCAAGGAGCUCUAAGACAGGUGCUGCAUGGUCGUCGUCAGCUCGUGCCUUGAGGUGUUCGGUUAAGUCCGUAAACGAGCGCAACCCUCGCCGUGUGUUAAUUUUUCACACGGGACUGCCGGCCCAAAGCCGGAGGAAGGUGAGGAUGACGUCAGAUCAGCAUGGCCCUUAUGUUCUGGGCCACACACGUGAUACAAUGCAUGGUACAGAGGGUAGCCAAGGAGCAAUCUGGAGCCAAUCCCUAAAACCAUGCCCAGUUCGGAUUGGGGGCUGCAACUCGCCCCCAUGAAGUCGGAAUCGCUAGUAACCGUAAAUCAGCUACGUUACGGUGAAUGUGUUCCCGGGUCUUGUACACACCGCCCGU
rnacentral:rRNA from 1 species